rnacentral:rRNA from 1 species
UACGUAGGGUGCGAGCGUUGUCCGGAAUUACUGGGCGUAAAGAGCUCGUAGGUGGUUUGUCGCGUCGUCUGUGAAAUUCCGGGGCUUAACCUCGGGCGUGCAGGCGAUACGGGCAAUACUUGAGUGCUGUAGGGAGACUGGAAUUCCUGGUGUAGCGGUGGAAUGCGCAGAUAUCAGGAGGAACACCGAUGGCGAAGGCAGGUCUCUGGGCAGUAACUGACGCUGAGGAGCGAAAGCAUGGGUAGCGAACAGGAUUAGAUA